rnacentral:rRNA from 1 species
UACAGAGGUCCCGAGCGUUGUUCGGAUUCAUUGGGCGUAAAGGGUGCGUAGGCGGUCUUCUAAGUUUGAUGUGAAAUCCCGGGGCUCAACCCUGGAAUUGCAUUGAAUACUGGAGGACUAGAGUACCGGAGAGGAAACUGGAAUUUACGGUGUAGCAGUGAAAUGCGUAGAGAUCGUAAGGAAGACCAGUGGCGAAGGCGGCGCUCUGGAACAUUUCUGACGCUGAGGCUCGAAAGCGUGGGGAGCAAACAGG